GACUGGAUCAAAGACGGAUUUAUUAUACAAUGGCCAGCAGAGACCCGAGUCCAGAUUCGAAGGCAGAGGAAGGAGGCUCAGAAAAGGAACAAUCUGCAGAAAAAAACAAGCCAGAGAAAAAUGCAGAACCCAAACAGGACAAAGGAGGUCUGCUCGCUGGAAUGUUCCGAAAAACACCCAAAGAGAAAUUAUCUUCUCCAGCAGUGAUGGUCAGUAAAGCAAACAGUGAUACCGAGCAUGCAGAAGAAGAAGGGAAAACAUCAGAACAGUCCAACGAAAAGGGAGGCUUCUUCUCUGGCAUCCUUAAAAAAUCCAACAAACCAGCAGAUGAGAUGUCUGCACAGGAGACUCUGAGUGCUCAUAGUGAUCUAUCUGCCAGCAGCGACAGUCUGUCUGAAAACAGGGAAAAAGGAAAAAUUUUUGGCGGGAUUUUCAAGAAGUCGCGGAAACCAGCAGAAGCCGCUCAAACCGAUGAGGACCAAGAGUCACUGCAUGGAGAUCUGUCCAGCAGCACUGUUAAUCUGAAUGAAGCUCCAUCGAAGGAGAAAGGUUUUUUCAGCGGCAUCCUGCGCAAAUCUCCUAAGAUUCCUGGAGAGGGGACACCUGGGCAGGAUAAAGAGUUGCAGUGGACUGACCUGUCAGCCAGCAGUGAGAGUCUGUCAGAGAACACCAAAAUAAGGGGGAAUGUUUUCAGUGCGAUGUUUAAGAAAUCUCCAAAACUGUCUGAAGGCUCCCGACUGGAAGAGGU
ensembl:lncRNA